ACUAGGUUGGAUUUCUUUACCCAAAUAAUGAUUGCACAAUUGCUAGUUACUAUACGACAGUACACAGUAUAGAAUAACGUUUCGAACCUGAACUAUUAUUUAGUACACUCCAGAAAUAACUACAUACUGUACCGUUGAACAAGCUACAGUUGCUAGUUACGUUUCUCAAUGUUUUGAUGUUAUAAUGCAGUGGGCAACCAGAACACAAUGAGGCUGCUCUGUUCUAACGUUAUUGUACAGUGCACAACAGUUGUUAGCUAGUUAAUUUAACCAAACAGAAACACAUCUGCCCACAGUAUGUUUUAGAGGUGACACUAGCUCUAAUAAUGCUAUUACACUGGGGAAAAGGUGUAGUAGUAUUUUAGGUAAAUGUAAUGUUACAUUAAAGUAUACUAUACCUCACUACUCGACCCUACCUAUGGACCCUACUCAGAUCUGUCGCUACUUCCUCAAAACUCAGGCCCACUCGAAUGUAUCCCUAGCUGUGCCAGUGAGGCUUUGGAUGAGGCCCAUUGAUUAUGCGCCAAGUGCCCUCAUUGAUGCUGGGGGUCUGAGCAACGCAUUAAUGAAGGGAUCCCACAUAAAUUGCAAAUCAUCAGAUGGGCGGGUCAUGGCCCAUGAAGAAGAAACGUUUCCAACUCUUACGUUGGUUAAUGUAUCAGAAUGGGCUCUCCAAAACCCCCACCAAGGGAGGGUCCUCAAGACGCUAAGUAACAGUCAUUUUGCCAGAAAUGCCUCUCCAGCUCUUCUCUCCAGCCGGUCAAAAGCCCAACAGAGAGACCACAUCAAAUCGUUAGAACGUGAGGAUCUUCACUUUCCCCGGUUCAACUCUGUUGACCUAAGUCCUUGUGACAAGCAACACAAAAGAGUCAAGCUCAACACUGUUCAGAUGAGUCCUCUUGUCAGCUGCUCCAGUACAUCAUGGAGCUCUAAAUUCCUAGUGAUGUGGAUACCCAAUCCCCAAUACACCCCUCAGUGCCACACCCAAAAAAGGCCUAAAUCUCCCCAUAUAGCUGUCAAGGAGUUAAUUUUAUUUCCAUCCUCAAACACCUCAAACAUGAACCGAAAGAAUUCCAAGAAUAUGGGGAAGAUGGUGCAUUUCCAGCUGACACCGUUGUCACAGCCGAGAUGCGAGCAGGCUGUCGACCCCAGUGACCUUGCCCUGACCAAGUCUGGCACAGACACUGACCCCAAGACGGAGGAGGAGGAGGAGCCUGGCAACUUCCAGAAUCAGGAGCUCCUGACACUGGAGACUGGCCAAGAGACCCAGAGCCGGACUCAAACCAGCCCACAGCCCCCUUCAGUACCCCGCAGUCCUUUUCUCCUCAGGACCCAACCUGUGGUGUUCCACAGUGUCAGGGAGAAGACACAGAGACACACCCAUCAGGAAAACUCCACAUUCAAGUACAAACUGGACAGCAAGACAGGACGGGAGGACAUCGACUGGGAUAGUCUGAGAAGACGGACCUAUCUCUGGAGGAAGCCAAAUCUUCCCCUCCACUGUGACAGAGAGAAGCCCUGUUCCCCAGAGGCCAUGACCAUCACUAAGUCCUGUCAGCAGUGGAACAGCAUACCUAAGGCCACUUUCAAUCACCUCACCGGGAGUCCUCUGUCCCAUGGUCUACGAUCCCAUGAGAGGACAGGGAGGGGGGUCUGAGGACAAAGGCCACAGGGCCUGCGGGUCUGAGCCAGCCCCUCCACCCUCCAGUGUCAACUCCGAUACCAAUGGAGAUGGUUGAUUUGGACAAGGAAAGACUGACUCAAAAAUCCAGGAGUGAACCCUCUCAUGAGGCCUGUGAUGCCAUCCUCGUGUUCUAGAUAAACACAUUUGGAAUCCAUGAUUUCUGGUUGCUUCCUUAUUCCUGUCAAAGUACAGCCAAC
rnacentral:lncRNA from 1 species